rnacentral:rRNA from 1 species
UACGGAGGAUGCAAGCGUUAUCCGGAUUUAUUGGGUUUAAAGGGUGCGCAGGCGGAAAAAUAAGUCAGUGGUGAAAUCUUGUAGCUUAACUAUAAAACUGCCAUUGAUACUGUUUUUCUUGAGUAUAGUUGAAGUAGAUAGAAUGUGUUGUGUAGCGGUGAAAUGCUUAGAUAUAACACAGAAUACCAAUUGCGAAGGCAGUCUACUAAGCUAUUACUGACGCUCAUGCACGAAAGCGUGGGGAUCAAAC